rnacentral:lncRNA from 1 species
GAAUAACCUAGAAGUUGACAUCAUGUUUGGUUAGCGACAUAAAGAAUGUUUCAUUCUUGUUAAUGUAGAAAGUAAUUACAUGAUAUUAUCUGUAAUUUCGGUAAUAAUGAAUUAUCUUGCUUGCAAUCUGGUAUAUGUUUGGUUAAAUUGUCAAGAAUAUGAUUGAUAGAAUUCAUCGUGAUAAUUGAUACCUGCAGUCUAUUGAUAUUUAUUGAUUAUUGAGCAAAUAGCAUGAGUAGUUUACUUUUA